CUGUUCUCAUCGGAGUGCAAGGAUUAACAAUCUAUGCUGAGAGGUGUAAGCCAAUCCGUAGAACCUGAACUGAAUAAUUUCAGCGUAGGGAUUUGAGACGAGUGAUCGA
rnacentral:ncRNA from 1 species